rnacentral:rRNA from 1 species
UACGUAGGGGGCGAGCGUUGUCCGGAUUCAUUGGGCGUAAAGCGCGCGUAGGCGGCUCGACAAGUCGGCCGUGAAAUCUCCAGGCUCAACUUGGAGGGGUCGGGCGAGACUGUCGGGCUCGAGGUGGGCAGAGGGCAGUGGAAUUCCGGGUGUAGUGGUGGAAUGCGUAGAUAUCGGGAGGAACACCAGUGGCGAAGGCGACUACCUGGCCUGUUCUUGACGCUGAGGCGCGAAAGCUAGGGGAGCAAACGGG